rnacentral:rRNA from 1 species
AUUGAACGCUGGCGGCAGGCCUAACACAUGCAAGUCGAGCGGUAGAGAGGUGCUUGCACCUCUUGGGAGCGGCGGACGGGUGAGUAAUGCCUAGGAAUCUGCCUGGUAGUGGGGGAUAACGCUCGGAAACGGACGCUAAUACCGCAUACGUCCUACGGGAGAAAGCAGGGGACCUUCGGGCCUUGCGCUAUCAGAUGAGCCUAGGUCGGAUUAGCUAGUUGGUGAGGUAAUGGCUCACCAAGGCGACGAUCCGUAACCGGUCUGAGAGGAUGAUCAGUCACACCGGAACUGAGACACGGUCCAGACUCCUACGGGAGGCAGCAGUGGGGAAUAUUGGACAAUGGGCGAAAGCCUGAUCCAGCCAUGCCGCGUGUGUGAAGAAGGUCUUCGGAUUGUAAAGCACUUUAAGUUGGGAGGAAGGGUCGUUACCUAAUACGUGGCGAUUUUGACGUUACCGACAGAAUAAGCACCGGCUAACUCUGUGCCAGCCGCCGCCGUAACAC